rnacentral:rRNA from 1 species
CAGCCGCCGCGGUAAUACGGAGGGGGCUAGCGUUGCUCGGAAUUACUGGGCGUAAAGCGUGCGUAGGUGGUGGUUUAAGUCCGUUGUGAAAGCCCUGGGCUCAACCUGGGAAUUGCAGUGGAUACUGGGUCACUAGAGUGUGGUAGAGGAUAGUGGAAUUUCCGGUGUAGCAGUGAAAUGCGUAGAGAUCGGAAGGAACAUCUGUGGCGAAGGCGACUAUCUGGGCCAACACUGACACUGAGGCACGAAAGCGUGGGGAGCAAACAGGAUUAGAUACCCCAGUAGUCCCUGUCUCUUAUAC